rnacentral:tRNA from 3 species
GGAGAGGUGUCCGAGUGGCUGAAGGAGCGCGCUUGGAAAGCGCGUGUACGAUAAGUACCGGGGGUUCGAAUCCCCCCCUCUCCG